CAGCAGUAGCCGCGGUAAUACGGAGGGUGCAAGCGUUAAUCGGAAUUACUGGGCGUAAAGCGCACGCAGGCGGUCUGACAAGUCAGAUGUGAAAUCCCCGGGCUUAACCUGGGAACUGCAUUUGAAACUGUCAGGCUGGAGUCUUGUAGAGGGGGGUAGAAUUCCAGGUGUAGCGGUGAAAUGCGUAGAGAUCUGGAGGAAUACCGGUGGCGAAGGCGGCCCCCUGGACAAAGACUGACGCUCAGGUGCGAAAGCGUGGGGAGCAAACAGGAUUAGAUACCCCUGUAGUCCCUGUCUCUUAUAC
rnacentral:rRNA from 1 species